AUGAUGAGAAAAUUAGUUAGCACUUUCUGCGAAAACUUAUUGUUAUAUGUUAUAUGGAAUUGCUAUUCGAUUUAUGGAGAAUCCCUUAUUGAAAUUGAAACAGAAGCUCAUAUUUAUAAUUGUUGGCUUAGCUUCUAUGAGAAGUUUGAUAUAGGAACUGGUUUUGAGUUACAAGCAUGCCGUGUUCUGAGAAGAAAUACAAAGAAGUUUGCUUGA